rnacentral:tRNA from 2 species
GAAGGCGUUAGCCUUCGAAGCCGAAGCAGAGCAUCUGCCUUACAAGCAGAGGGUCGGCGGUUCGAAUCCGUCAACGCCCACACCA